UGGUCCCCAUGAAAACGGGCAGCCAAGGGGGCUCGGGGGGCCCCUGGAGGCCUCUGUACCCCACUUGAGAAAGGGUGGCAGUGGGGCAGCAGGCCUGGGGCCCCCAGGGCUCCACCGUUCCUGCUUGGGGACCUGAGAGGUGCAC
ensembl:miRNA